rnacentral:rRNA from 1 species
UACGUAGGGGGCUAGCGUUGUCCGGAAUCAUUGGGCGUAAAGAGCGUGUAGGCGGCUCGGUAAGUCCGCUGUGAAAGUCGGGGGCUCAACCCUCGAAUGCCGGUGGAUGCUGUCGAGCUAGAGUGCGGAAGAGGCGAGUGGAAUUCCUGGUGUAGCGGUGAAAUGCGCAGAUAUCAGGAGGAACACCGAUUGCGAAGGCAGCUCGCUGGGACGUUACUGACGCUGAGACGCGAAAGCGUGGGGAGCAAACAGG